AUGGCUCAGUACCACCUUCUCCAACACACGCUGCAGCAGCUGGAUGGAGGAUGGGCUCUCAGACAGAACUACUCAAGGUUAUCUGUGAGAUGUGCAACGUACCUUGAGGAGACUAAGUUUCAUACUCUGGGCAUGGAGGAAAUGGUGGUGGAAACAAUCCUGGCACCAUGGGAAAUACUGCUGGUCAUGUGUGCUGCAGUGCUGAUCAUGAGCUUCCUUAUGGUCCUGCCCCCUGCAGUAGUGGUGAUAUGGAGGAUGAAGCAUGUGCCUCAGAUCUCACUGCAUGGCUCGGUGUAA
rnacentral:lncRNA from 1 species